rnacentral:rRNA from 1 species
GACAGAGGGUGCAAACGUUGUUCGGAUUUACUGGGCGUAAAGCGCGUGUAGGCGGCUUGGCAAGUCGGAUGUGAAAGCCCACGGCUCAACCGUGGAAGCGCACCCGAAACGGCCUCGCUCGAGUCUCGGAGAGGAAGGUGGAAUGCUUGGUGUAGAGGUGAAAUUCGUAGAUAUCAAGCAGAACACCUGCGGCGAAGGCGGCCUUCUGGACGAUGACUGACGCUGAGACGCGAAAGCGUGGGGAGCAAACGGG